rnacentral:rRNA from 1 species
AUGAAGCUGGAAUCGCUAGUAAUCGCGAAUCAGAAUGUCGCGGUGAAUACGUUCCCGGGUCUUGUACACACCGCCCGUCACACCAUGGGAGUCGGAAAUGCCCGAAGUCAGUGACCUAACCGAAAGGGAGGAGCUGCCGAAGGUGGAGCCGGUAACUGGGGUGAAGUCGUAACAAGGUAAC